UACUUGUGGGCCAAUAGCUCAGUCGGUUAGAGCACCUGCCUCUUAAGCAGGGUGUCCUGGGUUCGAGCCCC
rnacentral:tRNA from 1 species